GGGUGGUGUAGUGGAAAUGCUGAGUCAUGGCAUGAAGCGCUGAUGGAGCACCUGGUGGGAAGGCGGGGCCAACCCAGGGGAGCUCAGCUGCAUGCAGUUGAUCUGAGUGACCAGAAGGGAUGGAGCCAAGAUUCACCCCCCCCCCAGACCUCAUUUAAGGGUUGGCAGAGGAGGUGAGGGUAUCUUGCUGGACAUUCCUACCUACAGGAGGUCUUCCAGAACUACUCGUGACCAGAAUGGAUGGAGCAGUGAGUCACCUACCAAACAGUAUUAGAGCUGUGAAAACAAGAAACCAGAUGUAACUUCUGCACUGUAUCUCCUUUCCAGACCGCAGAAAUACAGCAUAUUGAAUUUGCUUUGACUUGCAUGAGCUGCAAAGCCUGGUAAGGACUCUUCUCUACCUACACGAAUUUCUCAAUAUAGAAAAGAUUUGAACAACCACAAAUGCAAACUACAUGCACAUGCAAACUGCUGUAUUCUAGCAUGUGCCCAGUGAUGGUUUAAACGCCACUCCAAGCCACUGGCUCAAUUUUAAAAUAGUGAACAAUGGCAUUAAUAUCUCAGUGUUUUAAAGUAUUUAUUUCUACUUGUGUUUCUGUGCAUACGAAGUACAAAGUUACACCUCAAAAUUGUCAUGUCAAAUUAUUCCAACUACUUUGGAAGUGCAGUUCUAUCUGAUUUUAAAAGAAGUCAGCAUAAGUUCUUUUUAUAGAAGUGUGCAUGUAUGUUUUGGGAGGAUAAGGAAAUAUCAAAUAAUAGCCCAUAAGUGCAAACACUUUUACAAGAACUACUGCAGGUUUUUAAUAUUUUCAAGACUUGAUCAUUAAGAUAACUGGGAAUGAAAUACAGAAUCUCCAUCUCCACUUCAGAUCAGUAAAUAAUGGUUGAAAAUCUUUUAAAAACAAAUCAACAUCUGCUCAGUUGGUAGUAAGUAGAUCAUUGAUAGGCAUGUUGAUGCCAGUUCUGAAAAGCCAGAAGGUUGAGUAUUACCAAGUAUUAAGCUAUUCUGUUAUUACCGGAGAGCAUCCUUCUAGGCUGGGGUUGAGUUAUAUUGCCCCUUUCUCAUAGGAAACCCUGACACUUGCUGUCACAGCUGUGUCUCUUUUAAGGCUAGGAGGCAUCAGGCUUUGUGUAGUCUAUCAUGAACAUUGCAUUUUUGUUUAAAAUAGGAUUUAUCAGGCUGGUUGGCCAAGUGACUUUUUUGGGCUUUCUGUUGUGUUUG
ensembl:lncRNA